CACGUAGGGCGCAAGCGUUGUCCGGAAUUAUUGGGCGUAAAGAGCUCGUAGGCGGUCUGUUGCGUCCGCUGUGAAAACUCGGGGCUUAACCCCGAGCCUGCAGUGGAUACGGGCAGACUAGAGGUAGGUAGGGGAGAAUGGAAUUCCCGGUGUAGCGGUGAAAUGCGCAGAUAUCGGGAGGAACACCAAUUGCGAAGGCAGCUCGCUGGGGCGUUACUGACGCUGAGACGCGAAAGCGUGGGGAGCAAACAGG
rnacentral:rRNA from 1 species